rnacentral:lncRNA from 1 species
CUUAAAGUCCUAAACUCAGCAAUUUUCCUGCCUCCGCCUCCUGCAUACCUGGGAUGACAGCCAUGUGCCACUGUGCCUGGUUCUGAUUGGACUCCACACAAGUGAGAAAUACAAGCAUCUUGAGCCACCGACCUUGUCCCCAAAUAACCUGACCUGGAGGCAGAGAGCCAGGGAGAGGAGAAGGCCAGCCAGCCUCCUCCAGACCUCAGGCUCCUCCCCAGUGGCCCAGCCCCUCAAGCCGCUCCUACCAGCUUGAGGUCAUCUGUGUCAGGAACGAAGCCGGUCAUCAUGGCUAUGUCCAGGAUGGACAUUGUGGCAUCCUGGUCUCCUAGGCCGCCAUGAGGUGAGCAGUUUUCCUCCGCCAUGCCCCUCUGCCAGGAUGGAAGCCCAAAGACCUGGACCAAGACAGAAAGAUGGAAAAGGAUAUCCCUGAGUCCUGAUCCAGAAAGACAUUAGAAUACAGAGAAUGAGAGAGAAGAGAAGGUAUGAGGAGCCAAGUCUCCCCCGCCUGAUGGGUACAACGGUAGUCAUCUGCCCUCCCUCCUGCCUCCUGGCGAGCCCUGGUGGGUGUGAUGGUGACAGUGGUGAGGGCUUGGCCCAGUGGCUGUACCUCUUCUGACCGGAGGAGGCCGCCUAUGUCCCAGAGGAGGCGAUGCUUGACCAGGGAGCUGCGGCUGGGCAGCUGCAGGGCCACCUCCAUGUUCAGGUCCUUGUGGUCAGGAAUGUCUGUUUGGUAUUGGGCCAAGGCUUGGAACACCAUGAAGGUGGCCUGGAAUCCAUGAGAGAAGGAGGGUGAGGUAUCAGCUUGAGAGACUGGUUAGGACCCAAUGGGGGGUGGAGAUUCGGGCCAGAGUUAGGGCAAUGAGACUAUGCCUUGAAGCCAUCAUAGGGGUGACGUGGGGAAGUGCUGGAUACUAAGCAUUUGUCCUGGAACUCUGUGACAGAGAGAGGCUCGGACUCCCGACAGUAAGUCUGUGGCCAAGAACCCAAUGAGUAUGAAGGUGAGACUCAAGGUCCUUAGACAUCGAGGACAUGUUCUAGAACCCUCCAAGGUACAGAGGCUUAGACAAGAACUUGGAGAUGCUGAGAGCAUAGCUAGCAC